UACAAGAAAUUUUAAAUAAGUUAAACUCAUAAAUAGUUGUAAUUAUGUUGUUUCAAUAUGAAUAGUAAUUUCGUUUUUUAAAUUAUGUAAUAUUACAUUGGGAAUAUGUUAUAUGUUACUAUAAAUAUUUGUUUAUUUCAUGAAAUAAAAAAUAAAACAUAUAAUCUGAUUACGAAAACAUUUCUUCAAAUAUUUGUUCUCUCCGAUGCCUGGUUACGUUUUUUACAUCUGACUGCAAUGGGCACCGUUGUCCUUAAAUGGAGGUACUAACCAACUCAGAGAUGGAUAUGCUGAAUCACCCAAAUACAGUGAGGACCUCCUUAACAACCGAGCAUCAUGCAGAGAUCCCGGCUCUCCACAAUACACGUCAAUAAAUUGCCUGAAGCUAUUGACAGUUCCUUGUAUUAGCAAACUAAAGUAUCCUUUUCUAUUGAUGUAUGAGUCUUGAUCAUUUUUUGGCCUCCGAAUUCUCACAUGACAUCCAUCAAUUGCUCCAAUUACAUUUUGACUGCCAAAUUUGGUGGCGAAAGCUUUAGAUAUUGUCACACUCUGGGGUUGUAGCUCGCAUUUACAAGAGGUGGUGUGACUUUCAACCAGGAUCACGGUCUCAACGAACACACAUAACGACCAUUUGUUUUAUACAUGUAUUUAGUCAAGCAAUGUAAAAAGAAGUGCCAAAGGAUAUAAAGAAAGGUACUUACAUUUCGAACAUGAUUCUCGUGUACCAAUACCACCAACUAUCUCUAGCACAUCCCUGCAUCUCCCAUUUAUACCUUCGGAUCUCAUACGUCAAUUCCUUCCUGUUAACACCCUAGAUGACUGAUGUUCCCGUUACUCACGAGGCCUUG